rnacentral:rRNA from 1 species
UACAGAGGUCUCAAGCGUUGUUCGGAUUUAUUGGGCGUAAAGAGCUCGUAGGCGGUUUGGUAAGUUGGAUGUGAAAUCUCCAGGCUCAACUUGGAGGGGUCAUUCGAUACUGCCAUGACUAGAGUUCGGUAGGGGAGUGUGGAAUUCCUGGUGGAGCGGUGAAAUGCGCAGAUAUCAGGGGGAACACCCGUAGCGAAGGCGGCACUCUGGGCCGGAACUGACGCUGAGGAGCGAAAGCGUGGGGAGCGAACAGG